rnacentral:rRNA from 1 species
CUACGGGAGGCUGCAGUCGAGAAUCUUCGGCAAUGGGCGCAAGCCUGACCGAGCGAUGCCGCGUGCGGGAUGAAGGCCUUCGGGUUGUAAACCGCUGUCGAGGGGGAGCAACUUCCAUAGAGUUAUCUUUAUGGAUUGAGCGAUCCCUGGAGGAAGGACGGGCUAAGUUCGUGCCAGCAGCCGCGGUAAGACGAACCGUCCAAACGUUAUUCGGUAUCACUGGGCUUAAAGAGUUCGUAGGCGGCUAAACAGGUGAGGUGUGAAAGCCCUCGGCUCAACCGAGGAACUGCGCUUCAAACCGUUUAGCUAGAGGAAGACAGAGGUGAGCGGAACUGAUGGUGGAGCGGUGAAAUGCGUUGAUAUCAUCAGGAACACCGGUGGCGAAAGCGGCUCACUGGGUCUUUUCUGACGCUGAGGAACGAAAGCUAGGGGAGCGAACGGGAUUAGAUACCCUGGUAGUC